rnacentral:rRNA from 1 species
AGUCUGCAACUCGACUACANGAAGCUGGAAUCGCUAGUAAUCGCGGAUCAGAAUGCCGCGGUGAAUACGUUCCCGGGUCUUGUACACACCGCCCGUCACACCAUGGGAGUCGGAAAUGCCCGAAGUCUGUGACCCAACCUUAGGGAGGGAGCAGCCGAAGGCAGGUCGGAUGACUGGGGUGAAGUCGUAACAAGGUAGC